UACGUAGGGGGCAAGCGUUGUCCGGAAUUAUUGGGCGUAAAGAGCGUGUAGGCGGUCCGGUAAGUCAGCUGUGAAAGUCAAGGGCUCAACCCUUGAAAGCCGGUUGAUACUGUCGGGCUAGAGUCCGGAAGAGGCGAGUGGAAUUCCCGGUGUAGCGGUGAAAUGUGUAGAGAUCGGGAGGAACACCGGUGGCGAAGGCGGGUCUCUGGGCAAUUCCUGACGCUGAGGCGCGAAAGCGUGGGGAGCAAACGGG
rnacentral:rRNA from 1 species